rnacentral:rRNA from 1 species
GUGGGGAAUAUUGGACAAUGGGCGAAAGCCUGAUCCAGCCAUGCCGCGUGUGUGAAGAAGGCCUUCGGGUUGUAAAGCACUUUUGUCCGGAAAGAAAUCUCCUGGGUUAAUACCUCGGGGGGAUGACGGUACCGGAAGAAUAAGCACCGGCUAACUACGUGCCAGCAGCCGCGGUAAUACGUAGGGUGCGAGCGUUAAUCGGAAUUACUGGGCGUAAAGCGUGAGCAGGCGGCUAUGCACGACAGCUGUGAAAUCCCCGGGCUCAAGCUGGGAACUGCAUUUGUGAAUGCAUGGCUAGAGUGCGUGAGAGGGAGGUGGAAUUCCGCGUGUAGCAGUGAAAUGCGUAGAGAUGCGGAGGAACACCGAUGGCGAAGGCAGCCUCCUGGGAUGACACUGACGCUCAUGCACGAAAGCGUGGGGAGCAAACAGGAUUAGAAACCCCUGUAGUCC